UACGUAGGGCGCGAGCGUUGUCCGGAUUUAUUGGCGUAAAGAGCUCGUAGGCGGCUUGUCGCGUCGUCCGUGAAACCCACAGCUCAACUGUGGGCUUGCGGUCGAUACGGGCAGGCUAGAGUUCGGUAGGGGAGACUGGAAUCCGGUGUAGCGGUGAAAUGCGUAGAGAUCGGGAGGAACAUCAGUUGCGGAAGGCGGCUCUCUGGACCAGCACUGACACUGAGGCACGAAAGCGUGGGGAGCAA
rnacentral:rRNA from 1 species